rnacentral:piRNA from 1 species
CCCUAAGAUGCUUGAGCACAGUGUCAUCGUC